rnacentral:lncRNA from 1 species
ACUCCUCCUUUCUCCCAUUGUUCCUAUGAGUUUGUGAAUGCUCUCUGGAACCCCAGAAGAUAAAAGAAUAAGUAACUAUGACAGUCAUUUGUAACAAUCGUCUCUUUCCCAAUACACUACCAGCAAGCCGACCCACACCGCCUCCAGUCUUAGUGCCUUCCCGGUCACGCCCUCCCUUCUCCUGAAGGGGGCGGAAUCUCUAAUCCACCCAAGACCCGGUUCCUCGAUUCCCAUCCUUACGACCGAGGAAAAAAGAGUAAAUUUUCCUAUUAUAGCCUUCUCUCGCACCUUCCCCGCUUCCCACCAGCCGUCUCCACUGUCCUCACCGUCCCCAUCCUCAUCCAUGGCGAAAUCUUCGCCCCCAGCCUCGUGAAGAUCUAGCACGUCCGCCAUCUCGCCUUCGAUCGAGAUCUCGUCUGUGCCGCUCAGACACUAGAUGCUGUUGACUGGGGCAAAGAAUAAUGGGAGAAAAACAGCUGGGUCCUAAAUAACAGAGGGAAACCAACUUUCAAUAAAGUAUUCAACAACUAAUCCACAAAGCAGAUAACUGAAGUAAUUUAGUAUAUGUAAUUACAUCUUUUUUUUUUUUUUUUUUGAGGCGGAUUCUUGCUCUGUUACCCAGGCUGGAGUACAAUGGCACAAUCUCAGCUCAUUGCAACCUCUGCCUCCCAGGUUCAAGCAAUUCUCCUGCCUCGGCCUCCCGAGUAGCUGGGAUUACAGGCGCCCACCACUGCGCCCAGCUAACUUUUGUAUUUUUAGUAGAGAUGGGGUUUUGCCAUGUUAGCCAGGCUGGUUUCAAACUCCUGGCCUCAGAUGAUCCGCCUGCCUCAGCCUCCCAAAGUGCUGGGAUUACAGGCAUGAGCCACUGCACCUGGCCUGUAAUUACAUCUUAAUUAAAUGCAAAUAGAACAGAUACUUGGUCUGACUAUUAAUGAAUUUGUGGAGAGGAAGGAAGAUGGCGGUGUUAAUUUCUAAGAUGUAAUUAAAUUAAGUCAACUUGGGUUCUAAUCUUGGCGUGACCAAUUACUAGCUAUAUCAUGUUAAGCAACAUUCCACUUCUGUGUUUUUAGUCUCCUCAUCUGUAAAAUAGGGGUAAUAAUAGUACUUACACCUCAUAAGAUUGUUGUGAUGAUCAAAUGAGGUAAAAUGCAUAUAAAUCCCCUAGAACAGUCCCUGCCACAAGGUAAAUACUCAAUUAGGAUUAAUUAUGGUUAUUCUUCUUUUUUGAGAUGGAGUCUCACUCUGUCGCCCAGGCUGGAGUACAGUGGCGCAAUCUCGGCUCACUACAAACUCCGUCUCCCGGGUUCAAGCCAUUCUCCUGCCUCAGCCUCCCAAGCAGCUGGGACUACAGACGCCCCCCACCAUGCCCGGCUAUUUUUUUUUUAUUUUUUGUAGAGACGGGGUUUCACCGUGUUAGCCAGGAUGGUCUCGAUCUCCUAACCUCGUGAUCUGCCCGCCUCGGCCUCCCAAAGUGCUGGGAUUACAGGCGUGAGACACCGCGUCUGGCUAAUUAUGGUUAUUCUUAUCAUCAUCAUUUGAAAGAACAGUUGUAAAUAAAGAGAGUAAAUAAAUUAUCCUCCUUGUUCCUA